rnacentral:rRNA from 1 species
GACGAACGCUGGCGGCGUGCUUAACACAUGCAAGUCGAACGGAAAGGCCCUGCUUGCCGGGUACUCGAGUGGCGAACGGGUGAGUAACACGUGGGUGAUCUGCCCUGCACUUCGGGAUAAGCCUGGGAAACUGGGUCUAAUACCGGAUAGGAGCCAUUUUUAGUGUGAUGGUUGGAAAGUUUUUUCGGUGUAGGAUGAGCUCGCGGCCUAUCAGCUUGUUGGUGGGGUAAUGGCCUACCAAGGCGGCGACGGGUAGCCGGCCUGAGAGGGUGGACGGCCACAUUGGGACUGAGAUACGGACCAGACUCCUACGGGAGGCAGCAGUGGGGAAUAUUGCACAAUGGGCGCAAGCCUGAUGCAGCGACGCCGCGUGGGGGAUGACGGCCUUCGGGUUGUAAACUCCUUUCGCUAGGGACGAAGCUUUUUGUGACGGUACCUAGAUAAGAAGCACCGGCUAACUACGUG